GUAAUGCAAUUAUUUAUCCAUUAAUAAAGUUUUCCAUAUGAUUUACAUGCUCUUUUAAAUAUUCCCAUUUCCUUUUCGAUUGCUUUCCAAUGAAACCAAAGGUCCACAACCUCCUACAUAAUCAUGCUACAAAUAAUAUAUAUUUUCAUGCAAUAAGCUUUUUCAUGGUAGUAAUAAAGUUUCACAUGCACCAAAAAGUCAUGCAAGAAAACACACUUACCCCUCUCCCCAUAACACAGAGAGAGAGGUUCUGGUUUUCAUCAUUGAAAUGACAAUAACAUUAUUAAAUAAAGUGUGUGGUUUUUUAGUAUUCGCACUCAAUGGAGCUACAUUCACCGACCCAUACACAUUACCCAUUUUUCAUUUCAUUGGACAUAGGCAUUCAUAUUAUUCCUUUUCCCUCUCUUUCUUUUCCUUUUCCUCUGUCUAAAAGAAAGAAAAAAUAAAACACACAAUCUUCCAAAUAUUCUCGUGUCUUGAGAGCCUUGGACGCACAACCCCGUACACUUGCAUUAUGCAGCUGCCAAGCCAGGGGCCCCAUCACAACUGACCCACAUAAAGUAAAUCAAACUUUCUCAAACAAAAAAACAAAACAAAUCACAAGACAACAGUGUUUUAGUUUUCGCGACCAAAAAAAGGUAACAUUUUUUUCACUCCCAGAUAAUCAAAUCUUCAAUAACACUUGAACACUUCAAAGUUCAACCCCAACACUCAGGUGUUAGACUGUGAUCUCUUUUGGGGUCUUGACAGUAGUUAUAAACCAUCAGGUAUCUCUGCACCCAUCUCAUGGCUCUGUUCUGUUGUCUUGUCAACCCACCAGACCUAUAUGGUGAGGCUGAAACUGGGUGGCACCACCGUGGUGCAUAGGCUGAGCAACCACUGGCUUUGAAGUUCGAAUACUUUGCCACAAAGGGUUGGUAUUUGUAAUCAGCUUUGUACUUUCCAUCUUCAGUUGCCCAUGAUGAAGCAUCCCAUAUUGAACCAUAUAGCCACAUUGGCCUCAGAGGAAACGUUGCACCACUCUUCCUCGGGUACCUUCUUAUUGGCACAUCAUCCACUAGGAAUCUGACACGCAUUUCGAUGUCAGUGAAAGCAAUGUUAACCAGAAGGUUCGAAGCUCUUUUCGAAUUGAUCUUGUGGAUCAGUGCCCCAUGAAUCCAACUACAAUUUAAGUAUGAGGUGUUGAAGUACAUGAACUUGAGGCAUGCAUGGUUCCCUUGAAACAAACCACAAAAUCACAAAACACGGAGGUACUAUUAUUGAAACACAAGUCUUGUUAUACACACGGCUUCAAGAAUUGGUAGAAAUAAUAAUAACCCCACAAAAUAGAUUUGAAAGUAACAGCAGGUAGUGCAGCCUGAUCAAGCGAGCAAAUAAUUAAUGUGCUGCUUAAUGGGGACUUGUGCACCCUCAUUUUUCAAUUACAACUUGCAAGAGAGCUUCUUUCUUGAUCUCUAUGUGUAGACAAAUUUUACAAGAUUGGGGCAAGCACUGUUUUGUCGGUCACACACGGAGGAAGAGAAAUGGAGGAAGGUUGGAAGAUGGUGGCCGGUAGGGUCACUUUGGCCGACAAGUCAAAAACUUCAAUACUUCACUUCUUGUAAAAACUCUGCAAAAGUCAAAUUAACCUUCUAUUUCUAUGCAUUCUUCUUGCAUCACACAUGUUAGAGUCUGAAUAAUUUGUGUUUGUCAUGUUUUCGGAUUAGUAGGUUCAAUGUGGAUGCUUUUGCUUUAAUCACAUUUUUCAUCCAACAAAAGCCUAUAUCAUAGCCUUUUUCACACUCACUGAGCCUUUGCUUUUGAAUAUGCCUGUCAGCUACUAAUAUUCAUUUUGUUACAAACACCGAAUGAUGAAUGUAUAUGAAUUAUGUUUUCCUACAUAUAGGCUCACAUCAAUGGCAUAAUCACCUCAAUUUUUAAAACUAUAUAUUGUGCACAAUAAUUGUAACAAUGCCAACAUUACACUUGUAUGUUCAAAAUUUUUGUUCAAG
rnacentral:sRNA from 1 species